UCUCGGGUGGCUCAGAUGGUAAAGCGUCUGCCUACAAUGUGGGAGACCCAGGUUUGAUCCCUGGGUUGGGAA
rnacentral:tRNA from 1 species